CUGUAAGUAGGCAACACUCCAAAGAUUUCUCCAAAUGGUAGUUUAAGUUUACUGAAACAUGUCACUGAUCUAGGAUGAAGAGGAUGAAACUGUGUCUGCUGCCUUUACAGAGGGGGAUCCAGAAAGGCAUACAGAGAGCAUGGCUGGACAGCAGCAGGAUGGUUCCUCAGCUUCCACUGCACAGACUGACACAGUGAGAUGGAUGUUCAGGAAACACCAGAGCUUCAUUCUGUGGAAUUCAUG